UUGAGACUCAGGAGGGGCCAUGGCCCCCCUUCAUCCAAACAUAGGCCCACCCCUAGAUCCAUCUUUUGAGUUGAUAGUUUGCAUAAUGCUUACUGGUUGAUUAUUUAAUUCGAUCCUCAGUUCCAAUAUUGAGACAAAAAAUGCAGUCAUAAAUAAAUAACUAAUGUGAAACUCCUAACAGGAUCCAGUAAUAGGGGGCAGCUUACUGUUGACAUACACAACUGGCUAUGUUGCUCCUCUACUUCUAGCUGCUUCUUUUGCAGGAGCAUUGCAGAGCCUGCUUUCAUUCUGCAAAUUCUUAGCAUGGAUCAACCCAAUGAGUGGUUAGAUGUUGACAAUUAUGUUCCUUCGAGUGUGGUUGUCGCUCAUACACAUGACGUUAGAAAAAAGAAGCUUUCAGAAAUGAGCGGGGGUUCUGGAGCUGGUUCAAUUGGUUCAAUCUCAGGUUUGAAUUAUUUUAUUGUUUUAAAUUUGUUACAAUUUUUCUCCUGAAAAAAUGAUACAUUCUUUGAGGUUUUCUCUAUGCUGAUAAUAAUCAUGAUAUGCCAGGUACAGUUCAAACUUCUAGUGGAAGCAUUUCUUCUGCAGCGGUGAGUUUAUUCUUGCCUUUCAAAUUAAUGGCCAUGCUUUGUAUACUUUUUACCUAUGAACUAAUAGAAAUUUUAGGGCUUCAUGAAGUAAUCUUGACACUAGAAUUUUGGUGGAUGGAACUUCUAAUGAAAAUUCCAUUUUUGGCUUACUCAAAAGGGUUCUGCUUUUUCAAUUACUUACCUCCUUCAUCUCUUCUCCAAAAGAUAAGGAUCCAUGGAAUUUUCAUUAGAGAAAAGAAGAUACAAUGGAUGGAUGAGAUUAA